rnacentral:rRNA from 1 species
CAGCAGCCGCGGUAAUACGUAGGGUGCAAGCGUUAAUCGGAAUUACUGGGCGUAAAGCGUGCGCAGGCGGUUAUAUAAGACAGAUGUGAAAUCCCCGGGCUCAACCUGGGAACUGCAUUUGUGACUGUAUAGCUAGAGUACGGCAGAGGGGGAUGGAAUUCCGCGUGUAGCAGUGAAAUGCGUAGAUAUGCGGAGGAACACCGAUGGCGAAGGCAAUCCCCUGGGCCUAUAACUGACGCUGAGGCGCGAAAGCGUGGGGAGCAAACAGGAUUAGAUACCCCUGUAGUCCCUGUCUCUUAUA